rnacentral:miRNA from 1 species
CUACCUCGUUGACCGGAAGAGUUUCCUUCCGGUCAACAAGGAUGUACCUCGUUGAUCAGAAGGAACCCCUUCCGAUCAAAGAGGUCUACCUCCCUGAUUGGAAGGGUUUCCUUCUGAUUAACGAGGUACAUCCUUGUUGACCGGAAGGAACCCCUUCUGGUCAAAGAGGUCG